rnacentral:rRNA from 1 species
GUGUCAGCCGCCGCGGUAAUACGGAGGAUGCGAGCGUUAUCCGGAUUUAUUGGGUUUAAAGGGUGCGUAGGCGGAAAAAUAAGUCAGUGGUGAAAACCUGCAGCUUAACUGUGGAACUGCCAUUGAUACUGUUAUUCUUGAGUAUGGUCAAGGUAGGCGGAAUGUGUAAUGUAGCGGUGAAAUGCUUAGAUAUUACACAGAACACCGAUUGCGAAGGCAGCUUACUGGACCAAAACUGACGCUGAUGCACGAAAGCGUGGGGAUCGAACAGGAUUAGAUACCCCCGUAGUCC